rnacentral:rRNA from 1 species
GGAUCCAGACUUUGAUCCUGGCUCAGGAUGAACGCUAGCUACAGGCUUAACACAUGCAAGUCGAGGGGAAACGACAUCGAAAGCUUGCUUUUGAUGGGCGUCGACCGGCGCACGGGUGAGUAACGCGUAUCCAACCUGCCCAUCACUUGGGGAUAACCUUGCGAAAGUAAGACUAAUACCCAAUGAUAUCUCUAGAAGACAUCUGAAAGAGAUUAAAGAUUUAUCGGUGAUGGAUGGGGAUGCGUCUGAUUAGCUUGUUGGCGGGGUAACGGCCCACCAAGGCGACGAUCAGUAGGGGUUCUGAGAGGAAGGUCCCCCACAUUGGAACUGAGACACGGUCCAAACUCCUACGGGAGGCAGCAGUGAGGAAUAUUGGUCAAUGGACGAGAGUCUGAACCAGCCAAGUAGCGUGCAGGAUGACGGCCCUAUGGGUUGUAAACUGCUUUUAUAAGGGAAUAAAGUGAGAGUCGUGACUCUUUUUGCAUGUACCUUAUGAAUAAGGACCGGCUAAUUCCGUGCCAGCAGCCGCGGUAAUACGGAAGGUCCGGGCGUUAUCCGGAUUUAUUGGGUUUAAAGGGAGCGUAGGCCGGAGAUUAAGCGUGUUGUGAAAUGUAGACGCUCAACGUCUGCACUGCAGCGCGAACUGGUUUCCUUGAGUACGCACAAAGUGGGCGGAAUUCGUGGUGUAGCGGUGAAAUGCUUAGAUAUCACGAAGAACUCCGAUUGCGAAGGCAGCUCACUGGAGCGCAACUGACGCUGAAGCUCGAAAGUGCGGGUAUCGAACAGGAUUAGAUACCCUGGUAGUCCGCACGGUAAACGAUGGAUGCCCGCUGUUGGUCUGAAUAGGUCAGCGGCCAAGCGAAAGCAUUAAGCAACCCACCUGGGGAGUACGCCGGCAACGGUGCAACUCA